GUCAACUUGAAGGUCUCCAUUCCAGCCUCAGGACCUGCACACAUCCAAGUUCUGAGUCAAUUUGAAUACGUUUACAGAUCCGAUUUCAACUUCCCUUGGGACUUUCCUAGUGGAGUAAAAAAAACUAUGCAGUCUCGCCCCUCUGGUUAUUACUACCAAGGUGCUUGGCGGUCACUAGAUGGCACCAUAGUUCACCAGUUUAACACCAUCUCAGC